rnacentral:rRNA from 1 species
UGGGGAAUAUUGGACAAUGGGGGCAACCCUGAUCCAGCAAUGCCGCGUGUGUGAAGAAGGUCUUCGGAUUGUAAAGCACUUUCGACGGGGACGAUGAUGACGGUACCCGUAGAAGAAGCCCCGGCUAACUUCGUGCCAGCAGCCGCGGUAAUACGAAGGGGGCUAGCGUUGCUCGGAAUGACUGGGCGUAAAGGGCGUGUAGGCGGUUUACACAGUCAGAUGUGAAAUCCCCGGGCUUAACCUGGGAGCUGCAUUUGAUACGUGUAGACUAGAGUGUGAGAGAGGGUUGUGGAAUUCCCAGUGUAGAGGUGAAAUUCGUAGAUAUUGGGAAGAACACCGGUGGCGAAGGCGGCAACCUGGCUCAUGACUGACGCUGAGGCGCGAAAGCGUGGGGAGCAAACAGGUUAGAUACCCUGGUAGUCCACGCUGUAAACGAUGUGUGCUAGAUGUUGGGUAACUUUGUUAUUCAGUGUCGCAGUUAACGCGUUAAGCACACCGCCUGGGGAGUACGGGC